AUACGUAGGGUGCGAGCGUUGUCCGGAUUUAUUGGGCGUAAAGAGCUCGUAGGCGGUUUGUCGCGUCGGCCGUGAAAACCUACAGCUUAACUGUGGGCUUGCGGUCGAUACGGGCAGACUUGAGUUCGGCAGGGGAGACUGGAAUUCCUGGUGUAGCGGUGAAAUGCGCAGAUAUCAGGAGGAACACCGGUGGCGAAGGCGGGUCUCUGGGCCGAUACUGACGCUGAGGAGCGAAAGCGUGGGGAGCGAACAGGAUUAGAUACCCUGGUAGUCCACGCCGUAAACGGUGGGCGCUAGGUGUGGGGACUGGUUCCACGGUUUCCGUGCCGUAGCUAACGCAUUAAGCGCCCCGCCUGGGGAGUACGGCCGCAAGGCUAAA
rnacentral:rRNA from 1 species